rnacentral:lncRNA from 1 species
AUGACAGCCUGCAUCCUGCCCACUCUCUCCAGUAGAAGAUGGGGUAGGGGAAAGGCCUUUUCUGGAUACAAAGGUGGCCCAGAAGUGGUCAUAAUACUCUCCCUCCAUUUCCCUUCUUUUCAGACCUGUGCAGUGGAGGAGCAUCGUGGGAUCUUCAAGGACCCUUUGUAAAGCAAAAGAGAAUUUGUAUGCCUCUUGGGAUUUGCGACAAAUGCAACUGAUGGAGAAUAGCAAGAUUACAUUGAGGUGAGGCUGCAAGGCAGUGGGCUAGGCAUAUCUUCUGGAUUUCUAUAGUGACUUGGAUACCCAAAAUUAUGGCAAUUUAUUCAAAUUUAUGCUCUCACAAAAUGAUAAGGUUUUACCUUAAAUGAAACUUCAAGAUCACCAAAGAUAGUCAAGGCAGAAAACAUUAAGUCUGUAAAUGCCAAUGAUCAGGUAUCACAAAACUUACGGAUUUUACUUGAAAUUCUAUGAGCCUUUGAAUAACUGGAUUUUAGAGUUAGCAUUUUACAUAACUCAGUAUAUUUCUUUUCCAUCUGUUAAAGUCUAUAGGGAACAGACUUUUUAUUUGCUCUAAGAAAGAAAUUGGAGGCUUAGUUCAUUGGAAGUUACCUGACAUCAAAUAUCAAGACCAGUCAUGAGAACUGUUAAUUUGAUGCUCAGACCUUUGCAUUCAUUGGUUUUUCCUCUCCUCAGAGUAUGAAUUUUGAGUACAAAAGAAUCCAUCAAAUAUCUCUGAUGCCAGACUUCAUGAUUGCUUUUCAAACAAGUUUUCUAUAUUCUUUCCUUCUUAUAAAUAGCCCUCUUCAUUGAUGAAGUCUGUUUCCUUCUAGAGACCAGAGAAAGAGGAGGAGUUUGAUAUGAAUUGUGAAAUCACCCUAUAUGUGACUUCUUUGGGAGAAUUUCAGGUAUAUAGAGUUGUAUAUAUAGUGUGUGUGUGCAUGCGUGUGUGUGUGUGUCUGUGCGUGUGUAGUAAAUAGACUAGGUCAUCCAGGUCUUUUGUUUUUCUUUGUAUCUUCUUUGAGAUGAAUACUUCUGAUUAGUUCACUACUGGAAAUGAGUCAAGGGAAAAUAAACAGCAGAAUUAUUCUACUUUCUAUUCAUCAGGUUUGCUAAAAGGAAAAGGCCUUGCCCAAUAGCAUGAAUUAUAGAUUCUAGGAUAUUACAGUGACUCUGGGAUAUCAGUACAGAUUCUUGUGUACAAAGGAAAAUUCGGUUCCACUUUCAAAACUUUAUCCUUGUAUUUUACCCAUCAAACAACACACAGAUGAAAAUUAAUCAUGAUUCAAUGUUCCACAAACACCCACAAAAUUUACCAAAGGUUCUUCUACUAUUUCAAGAAAAACAGAGUCUCCUUUAAAAAAAAGUUACAGAUUUCGUUUUUUAAAAUAUACGUUUUAUGGUUAUUCUAAGGAUAAUUUAAAGCUGUGGUAUCAUUAUAAAUGCUACAUUCCUGAGAACAAAAGCAGUAAUAACACUGUACUAAUUUAGGCAAUAGCAAAUAACCCCCUAAUCUUUACAAAAAAAGUUUAUUUUCUGCUUUUACUGCAUGUCCAUUCUAGGUAGGUGGGAAGGUGGGGGGUUGUGUUUCACAUUAUUCUUACUUGGGAACCUAGUCUGAUGCCCACCAUCUGGAUAUUGUUAGUCACUGUGCUGGAGGAAAAGGAGAUAAAUAAUUAUGCACCAGCUCUUAAGUGCUUCUGUGCAGAAGAGACAUAUAUAACUUCACUCACAUUUUAUUAACCAAAGUCACGUGGACAUUCUUCAUGAUGGGCCGAGCCUGAAAGUAGAAGAGAACUGGGUAUUAGUGGAUAGUAGUAAUAUCUACUGUAACUAUUUGCAUUUUUUUGCAGGCUUUUCUACUUUUUGAAGCAUUGACACAUCCAAAGAAGAAGCAAUUGCCUAACAAAAUGUUCCUACUCCAUUCUCCACCCAUAGCAUCAGCUUCAGGGUGUGUGUGUGAUCUUUGAACUCAUGUACUGUAAAUGAAGUCCAAUGGUGCACGUGCACGAACAGUGGAGAUACACACAAGAUGCAUCUCCUCUACUGUUCCUUACCAUGCCAUUUGCAUAUAGCAUUCAUAUCUCAUGAUCACAGAAUGCUAGUGGACCCUUAAUGUGGGAGCUCACAGCAAGUACAAGGUAAGUUUUGUCUACCAUUGAGUCUACCACUGAGUAAGCAGUAGUGCUGACAGCUCCAAGAGGUUCCAGCACUUGCAUUAAACUUAGAAAGAAGGAAAUGGUUGUCAAAGAAACACCAAUGACCAAGGAACGUUAUCAUAUCCCUUCUAACUCUUGUUGCUUUCCUGAGUUAGCUAACUGUGUAUGCUGAAAAUGAUGACAUAGAAAGAAAAGGAAACAUAAGGCAACCAAUAGUUCCUUUUUCUUUCAGUCUUUUCUUAAUUAUCAUCAGUAAGUUGAAGGAAGAG